rnacentral:lncRNA from 1 species
CCUGAGCAACGCACCGUGCGACAGGUGUCCACUGGAGAAUCCUCUCUCUUUUUAAAACCAACCUGAAAAAAAGAGGGAGAGAGAAGAUAAAUGGAAGGAUGGCCUUCCAUGCCAGGAGUAUAUAUAGGCUACCUGCAACGUGCCACACGCAUUCAGUGUUGCCUUAUAAGAUGCACACAAUGCGCAGGUAUUACUGCUAGUUCGUUUUUAAAAUGUCUUCUCACUUUUUCCGACAAUAGAUAGUCAAUGGUGUGUGGACGCAGCGACAAAUGGAGAGUAUAACGUAGUCUACAGCUGCUUUUCCAAGACGGGAUCAUCAUAUUGCGAUUGAUUUUCUGUAUUUGCCUCACGUUGAGCCACACGCACAAUACCUGAAGAUUAAGUUUUGUUCGUUCGGCUCGCGUUAAGCAGGUACAGAUUUUCUGCAAAACAGAAGAGCAAGUUCAUAUUCCGACAGAAGUCGUUGUCGUUGAUGCUGCUGUAUUUUCCUGUCACAAAUACAAACUUCGAACCCCGAAAUUUUUUUUGCCAACUGGACAACUUUUUAUCAGUAUUCUCUUGAUUUAUAUGGAUAAAGUUUUAAUGUUACCAUUUUUGGUUUUGUUUUUAGACUCUUGCUCAACACUAAAUGCUAUGGUUCUCUCCAUGGAUUUUACUAUGACUAGUUAUUAGACUUGUAUUACCUAGUUAUAUCCUCUCAUUAAAUACCAUUAGGUUUUUCUUUAUGGACAUGCGGCAAUGAUGAUAUCAAACCAGUUAGCGCCAAUAGUGUCAUCAUUAUGUCAGAGUGCACCUGGAAUCAGGGAGCUGGUCAUUUCUUAAUUGUAGUUAUCUUAAUCAUUAACCAGCCAAGUAACAGCCAUCUGAUAUGGACCAUCUGCUGGCUGGAUCCUCAGCUGCCUGGGAUCUGUACCUCUGAAGAGGCUACUCUGUUAAAUUAACUUUGAAAUGCAUAGGUGUCUGGACAUUUAUUCCAGUAAAUGCAGAAUGUAGCCUGUAACAUACAGCUCAUCAUAAAAACACCACGUCAUUCUCCAUUGCUCAUGCACUGUAAAACAUUUUGCAUUUCAGUUAAGCACAGAGACAUCAUACACUAUAGGCAUAUCACUGCUUUGCAUAUGUUUCAGAAACUUCUAUUUUCCACCUCAGACAGUAUCAUUUGUAGUGCCAGUUACCCCACCACACACGCACCACUUCGAUGAGAUGAGUAACAUCUGUACCUCAAGUAUCUGUAUAGUUCCAUUCUACUUAGAGCAUAACUGCAGGUAGACAUUUGCAUAUCCCGUUUUCGUUGUAUGAAUGAGCCAAUAAACAGCCUGGUAAAGGCUUUCCCAUGUAAUCAUUUCUGCUCUCAUGUUUCCCUACAAAGUUCCAGUAAAUAUUUGUUUAAAGUCAGUGUAAGGAGACCUCACAGCCUGUAUUCUCAUGUCAGUGACAGUUCAUGCAGCAGUUACACCCUAAACCUCCAAAAUGAAACUUCCUCAACUUACUCUACAGAGCAGCUAUUUGCUCUGUAAAAUAUGUACACACAAUAUUAUUUUGUUAUUCCCUGAUGUCUCAAGCAAGUCUUCAAUGUUUCAGUCUUUCAUGGUGCAAUAUAUGUUCUUAUCAUGUCAUAUCUGUUCUGUUUUAUGGAUAAACAUGACUGGGACAAAAUGACUUAACGGAAAUGAUUAUUUGCCCUGUCUCAGCAACCUAUAAAACGGUGUGGGAUUCUCUCUCAGAUGCAAACAAAUUGUGACUAUUUCAAUUCAUUCUGACUAUACAGCUAUAAAAUCAACCUUCUCUUAUCCUAUUACAUCAUCUUGAGAGAAUUAUGUGUAAGAUCAAAUAAGCUCCGUUUUCCCCCCCAUGGGCUAUUAUUCUUUAGGUCUGUGGCUAUCAUAACACCCAGACAAUUGUGUGUGUCUGUAGAAAAAAGCAUGAUUGCAUUUGUGGUGCCUGUUCAACUGCUACCUGUUGCCUAAGUGGAGGACAAGGGUUGCCCUGUGGGCUGUGUGCUGUUUCAAAUGACAGUUACAGAGGUUGCUAAUGAAAUAUGAAAAUGCCUGGGGGUUGUUUCUCUUGUAACUGCCUGGCUUUACCUAAGCAGUGAGCACAGAGGCGGGGAGAAGGAGGGGGAGAACCCAGGGCUCUGCAGCACCUCUCUGGGUGCGUCUGAAAUGGCACCCUAUUCCCUAUAUAGUGGACUACUUUUGUAGUCCACUAUAUAGGGAGUAGAGUGCCAUUUCGGAAGCACCCUGUCUUGGCCUCGGGUAAAUCCUGCCUGUCUGUUGCGGUUCACUCUGACACAGAGCCAGAGCCAUUCACAGAGCAGAUGUCACCUGCAUGAGCUGUCAUGGCCUGUUCAAAUUUGUCCUUAGGAGGAUUUGUUUCUAUAGCAGCAGAGAGGGGAAAAACACACAGCGAGCAGGUCAUUUGGUGGUGGUCUGCAUCUGCUCACUCACUAUUCAAGUAGCACCAACUCACAUUGAAGCAGAAAACAAGACCUGUCCAUUUACAACCUUAGAGCAAAAAGAGACAUUUCUGUUUCACAUUGGACAAUAAAGUUGUAUUG